rnacentral:rRNA from 1 species
AUGUUCUCGAUUAGUCGGAAUCGCCUAUCAGGGCAUGUGCCAAAUUCAUUAGGUGUGGUUCCGGAGUGGAUUGGAUCUAUCAAGAUUUUGCAGCAAUUAGGUUUAGAAGCAAACUUCUUUAAGGGGGUCAUUCCGUCAUCCUUGUCAAACUUAUCUCGAUUGGGAGACUCUAUCUAUCCUCGAACCAGUUCAUUGGUCACAUACCAGCAAGCUUUAGAAACUUUUCGACGCUUCAAAAUUUGGACAUUUCCAACAACAAUCUUCAUGGUAGGGUUCCAUCAAAGAUCUUCAAAAUCCCAGCAAUAUUUCAGAUUGAUUUUUCUUUCAACUAUCUAG